UCGGUAGGCAGCAGUGGAGGAGGGUUGGUCCAAUCAGAAACGUCUUUCCCGAAGACAACUGUGCAUUGGUUGGGGGGAAAAUCAAUUAUCAAAUAAUCGAUCAGCAGGGAGCUUCGAUCUGCGGGGAGUGCAAACAGCUAGCGCUUAUUCCCACACAGGCGGGGGCCAAAAGACUAAGUUCUCCAGAAGCGAAGUGUUUUCGCUCGUUUCCCUAGCCUUCCCAAAGCAGCUUCUAGUUUCUGAUCACACACUAGCCUAGAGAAAAGGUCGAGGGUGGAGUUGGGGGUGAGGAGAGGGAUGCGAGAGAGACUAAAGAGUAUCCUUCUGUUAGAGACCGAAUUCAGGGUUUAUGGACGAAAGAAAUGAAAGCAAAUGUUUCCAGGCUCUGAUUGAGGUCCUUUGUGAGGCCUGGAGGAGCCACUGCGAGGCAAUCAAGUUU